UACGUAGGGGGCAAGCGUUGUCCGGAAUUAUUGGGCGUAAAGAGCGUGUAGGCGGCCAGAUAAGUCCGCUGUGAAAUCUCGAGGCUCAACUUCGAGCUGUCGGUGGAAACUAUCUGGCUAGAGUCCGGAAGAGGAGAAUGGAAUUCCUGGUGUAGCGGUGAAAUGCGCAGAUAUCAGGAAGAACACCCGUGGCGAAGGCGGUUCUCUGGCCCGGUACUGACGCUGAGGCGCGAAAGCGUGGGGAGCAAACAGG
rnacentral:rRNA from 1 species